AGCCCUGUAGUGUAGCGGUCAAGCAUACAAGGUUCUGGGCCUUGGGACCCAGGUUCGAAUCCUGGCAGGGCUA
rnacentral:tRNA from 1 species